AUUUCAAGUCUGCAAUAUCAUUCAUCAAUCAUCUAUUUCUGCAUUCUAAUUUUGAUUCUGAAAAUUUAACUUCAGUUUCAUAUGCAUGCGCCCAGUAGAAACUCUAUUUUCUUAGUUCAUCUUGUAGAUAUAUUCAAAGGUGGUAGUUGUCUAGUGGGAGUAAUGGGUUUCAAUUUACACGCUUAUUUUUUGGUUUUCUAUUCAUCUAUUUGUUUGGUUUUAUCAAAUUCCGCUGAUUCUUGAUCCUGUCUAUCAUAAAUAUGGGUUGCAGAAUUUUGUAAUUCCUAUGCAUGCACCCAGUAGAGAUUCUAUUUUUGAAUUCAUCAUCUUGUAUAUAGUAGUGGGCCUGGCCUAUUGGGAUCAUGGUUCAAUUCAGCCACA
rnacentral:misc_RNA from 1 species